AGAGUUUGAUCCUGGCUCAGGACGAACGCUGGCGGCGUGCUUAACACAUGCAAGUCGAACGGAAAGGCCCUUCGGGGUACUCGAGUGGCGAACGGGUGAGUAACACGUGGGUGAUCUGCCCUGCACUUUGGGAUAAGCCUGGGAAACUGGGUCUAAUACCGAAUAUGACCAUGCACUUCCUGGUGUGUGGUGGAAAGCUUUUGCGGUGUGGGAUGGGCCCGCGGCCUAUCAGCUUGUUGGUGGGGUAAUGGCCUACCAAGGCGACGACGGGUAGCCGGCCUGAGAGGGUGACCGGCCACACUGGGACUGAGAUACGGCCCAGACUCCUACGGGAGGCAGCAGUGGGGAAUAUUGCACAAUGGGCGCAAGCCUGAUGCAGCGACGCCGCGUGAGGGAUGACGGCCUUCGGGUUGUAAACCUCUUUCAGCACAGACGAAGCGCAAGUGACGGUAUGUGCAGAAGAAGGACCGGCCAACUACGUGCCAGCAGCCGCGGUAAUACGUAGGGUCCGAGCGUUGUCCAGAAUUACUGGGCGUAAAGAGCUCGUAGGUGGUUUGUCGCGUUGUUCGUGAAAACUCACAGCUUAACUGUGGGCGUGCGGGCGAUACGGGCAGACUUGAGUACUGCAGGGGAGACUGGAAUUCCUGGUGUAGCGGUGGAAUGCGCAGAUAUCAGGAGGAACACCAGUGGCGAAGGCGGGUCUCUGGGCAGUAACUGACGCUGAGGAGCGAAAGCGUGGGGAGCGAACAGGAUUAGAUACCCCGGUAGUCC
rnacentral:rRNA from 1 species